UUUCUGGUAGCCUAAGUGGUUUGAGCAUCUGCCUCAGAUGCAGGAAGUUGUGGGUUCAAUUCCCCGCCGUGUCCUACCAAAAAC